rnacentral:rRNA from 1 species
GCAUAUCAAUAAGCGGAGGAAAAGAAACCAACAGGGAUUGCCUCAGUAACGGCGAGUGAAGCGGCAACAGCUCAAAUUUGAAAUCUGGCUCUUUCAGGGUCCGAGUUGUAAUUUGUAGAAGAUGCUUUGGGUGUAGCUCCGGUCUAAGUUCCUUGGAACAGGACGUCAUAGAGGGUGAGAAUCCCGUACGUGACUGGGUGCUUUCGCUCGUGUAAAGCUCUUUCGACGAGUCGAGUUGUUUGGGAAUGCAGCUCAAAAUGGGUGGUAAAUUUCAUCUAAAGCUAAAUAUUGGCCAGAGACCGAUAGCGCACAAGUAGAGUGAUCGAAAGAUGAAAAGCACUUUGGAAAGAGAGUUAAACAGUACGUGAAAUUGUUGAAAGGGAAGCGCUUGCAACCAGACUUGCGCGCUGCUGAUCAUCCGAGGUUUUCCCCGGUGCACUCGGCAGCGUUCAGGCCAGCAUCGGUUUUGGUGGGCGGAUAAAGGCCUUGGGAAUGUAGCUUCUUUCGGGGAGUGUUAUAGCCCUCGGUGCAAUGCGCCCUACCGGGACCGAGGACCGCGCUUCGGCUAGGAUGCUGGCGUAAUGGUUGUAAGCGACCCGUCUUGAAACACGGACC